rnacentral:misc_RNA from 1 species
GAUGGAUGGAGGCUUGAUUUUGUUCGUGGGUUUUGGGGUGGUUAUGUGAAGGAUUACUUGGAAGCAACUGAACCUUACUUCGCUGUAGGCGAGUUUUGGGAUUCCCUCGUUUAUACUUAUGGAGAGAUGGAUCACAAUCAAGAUGCGCAUAGGCAGAGAAUUAUUGACUGGAUUAAUGCUACUAAUGGAACUGCAGGAGCAUUUGACGUGACAACGAAGGGAAUUCUUCAUUCUGCAAUUGAGAGAUGUGAAUACUGGCGACUAUCCGAUCAGAAGGGGAAACCUCCCGGCGUUGUUGGAUGGUGGCCAUCUCGUGCUGUU